AAUCUUCCGGGUGGGCUCCGAGUUUUUUCAGCAAGAAUGAAGUUUGAUCAUGGCUCAGGAUGAACGCUAGCGGCAGGCUUAACACAUGCAAGUCGAGGGGUAACGGGAGUGCUUGCACUCGCCGACGACCGGCGCACGGGUGCGUAACGCGUAUACAAUCUACCCUUUACUGGGGAAUAGCCCAGAGAAAUUUGGAUUAAUGCCCCAUAGUAUGUUAAUAUGGCAUCAUAUUAAUAUUAAAGGUUACGGUAAAGGAUGAGUAUGCGUACCAUUAGUUUGUUGGUAAGGUAACGGCUUACCAAGGCUACGAUGGUUAGGGGCCCUGAGAGGGGGAUCCCCCACACUGGUACUGAGACACGGACCAGACUCCUACGGGAGGCAGCAGUGAGGAAUAUUGGACAAUGGGCGAGAGCCUGAUCCAGCCAUGCCGCGUGUAGGAAGACUGCCCUAUGGGUUGUAAACUACUUUUACAUGGGAAGAAUAAGGGUCACGUGUGGCCUUAUGACGGUACCAUGAGAAUAAGGACCGGCUAACUCCGUGCCAGCAGCCGCGGUAAUACGGAGGGUCCGAGCGUUAUCCGGAAUUAUUGGGUUUAAAGGGUCCGUAGGCGGGCCGUUAAGUCAGAGGUGAAAGUUUGUGGCCCAACCAUAAAAUUGCCUUUGAUACUGACGGUCUUGAGUUAUAGUGAAGUUGCUAGAAUAUGUAGUGUAGCGGUGAAAUGCAUAGAUAUUACAUAGAAUACCGAUUGCGAAGGCAGGUGACUAACUAUAUACUGACGCUGARGGACGAAAGCGUGGGGNAGCGAACAGGAUUAGAUACCCUGGUAGUCCACGCCGUAAACGAUGGAUACUAGCUGUUCGGACUUCGGUCUGAGCGGCCAAGCGAAAGUGAUAAGUAUCCCACCUGGGGAGUACGUUCGCAAGAAUGAAACUCAAAGGAAUUGACGGGGGCCCGCACAAGCGGUGGAGCAUGUGGUUUAAUUCGAUGAUACGCGAGGAACCUUACCAGGGCUUAAAUGUGGUCUGACAGCUUUAGAGAUAGAGUUUUCUUCGGACAGAUCACAAGGUGCUGCAUGGUUGUCGUCAGCUCGUGCCGUGAGGUGUCAGGUUAAGUCCUAUAACGAGCGCAACCCCUGUUGUUAGUUGCCAGCACAUAAUGGUGGGGACUCUAACAAGACUGCCGGUGCAAACCGUGAGGAAGGUGGGGAUGACGUCAAAUCAUCACGGCCCUUACGUCCUGGGCUACACACGUGCUACAAUGGCCGGUACAGCGGGCAGCCACUACGCAAGUAGGAGCGAAUCCACAAAACCGGUCACAGUUCGGAUCGGGGUCUGCAACUCGACCCCGUGAAGCUGGAAUCGCUAGUAAUCGGAUAUCAGCCAUGAUCCGGUGAAUACGUUUCCCGGGCCUUGUACACACCGCCCGUCAAGCCAUGGAAGCCGGGAGUGCCUGAAGUCCGUCACCGUAAGGAGCGGCCUAGGGCAAAAAUUGGUAACGAGGGCGAAGUCGUUAACAGAG
rnacentral:rRNA from 1 species